rnacentral:rRNA from 1 species
GACGAACGCUGGCGGCGUGCUUAACACAUGCAAGUCGAACGGAAAGGCCCUGCUUUUGUGGGGUGCUCGAGUGGCGAACGGGUGAGGAACGCGUGAGGAACCUGCCCUUGACUUUGGGAUAACUUCAUGAAACUGGGGCUAAUACGGGAUAGGAGCUCCUGCGGCAGGGUGGGGGUGGGAUAGUUUCGGCGGUUGGGGAUGGACCCGCGGCUUAUCAGCUUGUUGGUGGGGUAGUGGCUUACCAAGGCGUUGACGGGUAGCCGGCCUGAGAGGGUGACCGGCCACACUGGGACUGAGAUACGGCCCAGACUCCUACGGGAGGCAGCAGUGGGGAAUAUUGCACAAUGGGCGGAAGCCUGAUGCAGCAACGCCGCGUGCGGGAUGACGGCCUUCGGGUUGUAAACCGCUUUCGCCUGUGACGAAGCGUGAGUGACGGUAAUGAGUAAAGAAGCACCGGCUAACUACGUG